rnacentral:rRNA from 1 species
AGUGAACGCUGGCGGUAGGCCUAACACAUGCAAGUCGAACGGCAGCACAGUAAGAGCUUGCUCUUACGGGUGGCGAGUGGCGGACGGGUGAGGAAUACAUCGGAAUCUACUUUUUCGUGGGGGAUAACGUAGGGAAACUUACGCUAAUACCGCAUACGACCUACGGGUGAAAGCAGGGGAUCUUCGGACCUUGCGCGAUUGAAUGAGCCGAUGUCGGAUUAGCUAGUUGGCGGGGUAAAGGCCCACCAAGGCGACGAUCCGUAGCUGGUCUGAGAGGAUGAUCAGCCACACUGGAACUGAGACACGGUCCAGACUCCUACGGGAGGCAGCAGUGGGGAAUAUUGGACAAUGGGCGCAAGCCUGAUCCAGCCAUACCGCGUGGGUAAAGAAGGCCUUCGGGUUGUAAAGCCCUUUUGUUGGGAAAGAAAAGCGGCAGGUUAAUACCCCGCUGUUCUGACGGUACCCAAAGAAUAAGCACCGGCUAACUUCGUG